rnacentral:rRNA from 1 species
UGGGGAAUUUUGGACAAUGGGCGAAAGCCUGAUCCAGCAAUGCCGCGUGUGUGAAGAAGGCCUUCGGGUUGUAAAGCACUUUUGUCCGGAAAGAAAUCCUUGGCUCUAAUACAGUCGGGGGAUGACGGUACCGGAAGAAUAAGCACCGGCUAACUACGUGCCAGCAGCCGCGGUAAUACGUAGGGUGCAAGCGUUAAUCGGAAUUACUGGGCGUAAAGCGUGCGCAGGCGGUUUGCUAAGACCGAUGUGAAAUCCCCGGGCUCAACCUGGGAACUGCAUUGGUGACUGGCAGGCUAGAGUAUGGCAGAGGGGGGUAGAAUUCCACGUGUAGCAGUGAAAUGCGUAGAGAUGUGGAGGAAUACCGAUGGCGAAGGCAGCCCCCUGGGCCAAUACUGACGCUCAUGCACGAAAGCGUGGGGAGCAAACAGGAUUAGAUACCCUGGUAGUCCACGCCCUAAACGAUGUCAACUAGUUGUUGGGGAUUCAUUUCCUUAGUAACGUAGCUAACGCGUGAAGUUGACCGCCUGGGGAGUACGGUCGCAAGAUUAAAACUUAAAUGAAUUGACGGGGUCAUAGCUGUUUUUCU